rnacentral:rRNA from 1 species
CAGCCGCCACGGGAAUACGAAGGGGGCUAGCGUUGUUCGGAUUUACUGGGCGUAAAGGGCGCGUAGGCGGACUGAUAAGUCAGGGGUGAAAUCCCAAGGCUCAACCUUGGAACUGCCUUUGAUACUGUUUGUCUUGAGUUCGAGAGAGGUAAGCGGAACUGCGAGUGUAGAGGUGAAAUUCGUAGAUAUUCGCAAGAACACCAGUGGCGAAGGCGGCUUACUGGCUCGAUACUGACGCUGAGGCGCGAAAGCGUGGGGAGCAAACAGGAUUAGAUACCCCUGUAGUCCCUGUCUCUUAUAC